AAAGUGCAGAAGGGGCCGGAGAUGGUGGCUGAUGGGGCUUUGGGGGAUGGGAAAUGGACGAUGGCUGCAAUAAUGAGCUGCGGGAGCUGACUUUGGGGCAGAGAGCUGAGCCUCCUCCUUAGCAGUGAACCCACACCUCUGCCCAUGCACAAAGCUGAGGCAGCCACAGGUUUUAAUCAUAAUUAACCACUGGAUGCCAUUAUUCAGCCAUCAGCUUUGGAUGGGAUCGCUCCGUUGCAAAGGGGAAGCGCUGCUCUGAGCUCUGCCUUAAUGCCUCUCUGUGCCAUUCCAGUCUGCAGGGUCUUCCGUGCAUGCCGUGCUCCAAGCAUCAGAGUCACUGGGCAACGCCGUGCAGCAGCAGGGCGGGCUCUGCAAAGGGAAUUGCAUCUGAACAGCGUUGCAUCUGAAUAGCGCUGCACCUGCAGAGUGUUGCAUCUGAACAGCAUUGCAUCUGAACAGCACGGUACCUGCACAGUAUUGCAUCUGCACAGUGUUACAUCCAAACAGCGUUGCACCUGAGCAACACAGUGCCUGCACAGUGUUUGCAUCUGAACAGCACAGUAUCUGCACAGCGUUGCAUCUGAAUAGCAUUGCACCUGCACAGUGUUGCAUCUGAACAGCAUUGCACCUGCUCAGCAUUGCAUCUGAACAACACAGUACCUACACAGCGUUGCAUCUGAACAGAACAGCACCUGCAUAUCAUUGCAUCUGAACAGCAUUGCGACUGCGUGGCACUGCAUCUGAAUAGCACUGCGCCUGCACUGCUUUGCACCUGCACGGUGUUGCACCUGCACUGCUUUGCACCUGCACAGUAAUGGCAUUGCACUUGCACAGAAGGAGAGGGAGAGAAAGCAGCCCUGGGAUCGGGACCUGCUGCUCACAGGGCCCCGCAGGGCUGUGCCCUCACUGUUUGCCCACAUCCCACCGAAAUCCCACGGGAUCGAUGGGGGUCGGCCGGGUGCACCGCCCCGAGGCCAUGGGAUCGAUGAGGAGUGAAGGAAAUGCGGCCGAAGAUGCGCGGUUUUACAGCUUCCUCCCCAAGAACGGCCGUGCUUUAUGGACUGCUGGUAAUUGCCAAUUAAUUGCGCUGCAGCCGAGGGCAGGAAAGCAGCCCGCAUCCUCCAUACGGGGUGGGCAGGAUAUCAGAGUCCGAAGGUGUUACCACUCCUCCACUUAAUGAAGAAAAAUCACGAUGGAGGCGGCCGGAGGCAACGCAAUGGGAUUGCAGCGGGGAGGAGAGGACUGUGUUAACACCCAUUAAUAAUAAAUAACCGCCAUAAUGAGCUCUAAUUAAUUUGGUC
ensembl:lncRNA